rnacentral:rRNA from 1 species
CCUACGGGUGGCAGCAGUGGGGAAUAUUGGGCAAUGGGCGCAAGCCUGACCCAGCAACGCCGCGUGAGGGAAGAAGGCUUUCGGGUUGUAAACUUCUUUUCUGAGGGACAAAGAAAGUGACGGUACCUCCUGAAUAAGCCACGGCUAACUACGGGCCAGCAGCAGCGGUAAUACGUAGGUGGCACGCGUUCUCCGGAUUUAUUGGGUGUAAAGUGCGUGUAGGCGGGAAAGCAAGUCAGAUGGGAAAACUCAGGGCUCAACCCUGAGCCUGCAGUUGAAACUGUGUUUCUUGAGUGCUGGAGAGGCAAGCGGAAUGCCGGGUGUAGCGGUGAAAUGCGUAGAUAUACGGAGGAACACCAGUGGCGAAGGCGGAUUGCUGGACAGUAACUGACGCUGAGGCGCGAAAGCGUGGGGAGCAAACAGGAUUAGAUACCCUAGUAGUC